rnacentral:rRNA from 1 species
GACGUAGGGCGCGAGCGUUGUCCGGAUUUAUUGGGCGUAAAGAGCGUGUAGGCGGCUUUGCAAGUCCGUUGUGAAAACUCGAGGCUCAACCUCGAGACGCCGGUGGAAACUGCAAAGCUAGAGUCCGGAAGAGGAGAGUGGAAUUCCUGGUGUAGCGGUGAAAUGCGCAGAUAUCAGGAAGAACACCCGUGGCGAAGGCGGCUCUCUGGGACGGUACUGACGGCUGAGACGCGAAAGCGUGGGGAGCGAACAGG